rnacentral:lncRNA from 1 species
AAAUACAAAAGAUAAAGGUAUUAUGUCCAUCUACAACUAAAAAAAUAAAAUAAAACUAAAAACAAAAGAAUAUAUGUAAAAGCUGGGUGAGGUGGAACAGGCCCAUAGUCCCAGAUACUCAGGAGGCUGAGGUAGGAGGAUGGCAAGUUUGAAGCCAGACCUAGCAUCUUAGUGAGACCCUUAGUAACUUAAUGAGACCCUGUCUCAAAAUAAAACAUAAAGGACUGGGGAUGUGGGUCAGUGGUACAGCAUAUACCACACACACACACACACACACACACACACACACAUACACACACAAAGUAAGAACUAUAAUUUUAAAAAUAAUAAUAAAACACCACACAAUAAACUUCAGAAAAAACAUUACUAGUGUCUGCAAAGCCCCAUAUAUCUUUCCCUGAUGCAUUCCCUUUACUCUCCUAUCUUCUACUUUGUAUUAAUCUUCAUACAUAAAAUAAUCCUUAAUAUUAUUCUUAAUAUAUAUAUAUUAUCCUUAACAACGUAUUAUUUAGCUUUUUCUGUCUCUGAACUUUUAUAAAGGGGAGAAGUGGUAAGUAUUCUUGUUCAACUUAGGUGUUUUUUUUUUUUUUUGCAUCUGCAAUUUUCCUACAUGGAUGGAUGCAGUUGUAGUUCAUUCAUUUUGAAGACAUAUAGUAUUCCAUUGUGAGAAUGUGCUAUAAAAAUUAUUUAUCCAUCGUAUAGUGAAUGGGCAUUUCAGUUACUUCCAGCUUGAGACAGUUAUAAAUGAUGUGUUUUUAUGUCACCUGUUGUAUUUGUAUAAAAGUUAAUGUUUAUCUAGAAGUGGAAUUACCUGAUCAUAAGGUAUGCAUGUCUUCAAUUUUAUCAGAUAAGGCCAACCGGUCCAAGUGGUUUAACAAUCACCAAUAGUAUAGGAGAAUUUCCAUUGUUCUACUUUCCUGCCCUUACUUGACAUUAGGCAAUGCUUUAUUUUUAAAUUUCUGCCAACCUAGGAGGCCAUGGACUUGUGUAUCUCAUUUUGGUUGUAGUUUGCACUUCCCUUUUAUUAAGGAGGUUGGGCAUCUUUUCAUGUUUGUGGUCCUUUUGUGUUUCUUCAUCUCUGAAAUGUCUGUUUGUCUCUUUUUUAAACAAUAGGCUAAUCUUAUUGAUUGGCAGCUCUUUAAAGAUUCUAGGCACCAACUUUUUGCCAGUUUUAUGCGUUACAAUUAUCUUCUUUCUGUCUCUGGAUUGUCUUCUCAUUCUAUACAAUGUUUUUGUUGAACAGAGUUCUUUAGUGAAAUUGACUUCAACCUUUUCCUUUAUCUUCUUCUUUCACUUUUGGUGUCAUGUUUAAGACAUGAUUUAUCUUUUUCUUUGCCUGAGAUUCUAAAGAUCAUUUCCUGAAUUCUCUUCCAAAUAUUACUAGUGCCUGCAAAGCCGCCUUUUGAGGAGACAUAAACAAAAUUUGAAAAAUUCCAAAAGUCUUUCUUAGGACUGUUCUGUCUGUUCCUGAAUCUUUCCACAAAACAGUUCUGGAAGUCCGAGAUUAUUUCUAUUCCAAUGGGCCUCCUCUCCUCACAGAAAGCUUUGAGUUCUGCCAAAUGCCAAGAGACAAACUAUUCAAGCCCAGGCUCAGCAAUCCCGGACUGCACGUCCCUGCUUGGCACAGCGCGCGACCCCCAGGGGGCGCCCUCGCAUCACACGUGCAAUUCCCC